UACGGAGGGUGCAAGCGUUAUCCGGAUUCACUGGGUUUAAAGGGUGCGUAGGUGGGCAGGUAAGUCAGUGGUGAAAUCGUCUGAGCCUUAACUCAGAAACUGCCGUUGAUACUAUCUGUCUUGAAUAUAGUGGAGGUGAGCGGAAUAUGUCAUGUAGCGGUGAAAUGCUUAGAUAUGACAUAGAACACCCAUUGCGAAGGCAGCUCGCUACACAUA
rnacentral:rRNA from 1 species